CAGUUGGUAGCUCAGUGGUAGAGUGCAUGCUUUGUGUGUAUGACGUCCUGGGUUCGAAUCCCUCUGCUUUG
rnacentral:tRNA from 1 species